AAAAAAAUAGACUAAAUUAAGUCAUUAGACUCAUAAUCUAAUAAUGUAAUUAUUUACUUUUUUUA
rnacentral:tRNA from 1 species